rnacentral:rRNA from 1 species
UGGGGAAUAUUGCACAAUGGGGGGAACCCUGAUGCAGCGACGCCGCGUGGAGGAAGAAGGUCUUCGGAUUGUAAACUCCUGUUGUUGAGGAAGAUAAUGACGGUACUCAACAAGGAAGUGACGGCUAACUACGUGCCAGCAGCCGCGGUAAAACGUAGGUCACAAGCGUUGUCCGGAAUUACUGGGUGUAAAGGGAGCGCAGGCGGGAAGACAAGUUGGAAGUGAAAUCCAUGGGCUCAACCCAUGAACUGCUUUCAAAACUGUUUUUCUUGAGUAGUGCAGAGGUAGGCGGAAUUCCCGGUGUAGCGGUGGAAUGCGUAGAUAUCAGGAAGAACACCGGAGGCGAAGGCGGCUUACUGGACGAUAACUGACGUUGAGGCUCGAAAGCGUGGGGAGC